rnacentral:rRNA from 1 species
CCAGACUCCUACGGGAGGCAGCAGUGGGGGAUAUUGGACAAUGGGGGAAACCCUGAUCCAGCGACGCCGCGUGAGUGAAGAAGUAUUUCGGUAUGUAAAGCUCUGUCAGCAGGGAAGAAAGAAAUGACGGUACCUGACCAAGAAGCCCCGGCUAACUACGUGCCAGCAGCCGCGGUAAUACGUAGGGGGCAAGCGUUAUCCGGAAUUACUGGGUGUAAAGGGAGCGUAGACGGUGAUGCAGGUCUGGAGUGAAAGGCGGGGGCCCAACCCCCGGACUGCUCUGGAAACUGUACGGCUGGAGUGCAGGAGAGGUAAGUGGAAUUCCUAGUGUAGCGGUGAAAUGCGUAGAUAUUAGGAGGAACACCAGUGGCGAAGGCGGCUUACUGGACUGUAACUGACGUUGAGGCUCGAAAGCGUGGGGAGCAAACAGGAUUAGAUACCCGCGUA